rnacentral:pre_miRNA from 1 species
UCAUUAAAACCAUCAAUAUAUGUGGAACAAGAAGCGACAUAUGUUAAUGGUUUUAAUGAGG